rnacentral:rRNA from 1 species
UGAUACCACGGGAGGCAGCAGUGAGGAAUAUUGGUCAAUGGGCGGGAGCCUGAACCAGCCAAGUCGCGUGAGGGAAGACGGUCCUAUGGAUUGUAAACCUCUUUAGGCGGGGAGCAAUGACGGGCACGCGUGUCCGGAGGGAGAGUACCCGCAGAAUAAGCAUCGGCUAACUCCGUGCCAGCAGCCGCGGUAAUACGGAGGAUGCGAGCGUUAUCCGGAUUUAUUGGGUUUAAAGGGUGCGUAGGCGGAUUAUUAAGUCAGCGAUAAAAUGUCCGGGCUCAACACGG